AGCCUAUCAGUCGAGCGAACUGAUUAGAAGCUUGCUUCUAUGACGUUAGCGGCGGACGGGUGAGUAACACGUGGGCAACCUGCCUGUAAGACUGGGAUAACUCCGGGAAACCGGAGCUAAUACCGGAUAACAUUUUUUCUUGCAUAAGAGAAAAUUGAAAGAUGGUUUCGGCUAUCACUUACAGAUGGGCCCGCGGUGCAUUAGCUAGUUGGUGAGGUAACGGCUCACCAAGGCAACGAUGCAUAGCCGACCUGAGAGGGUGAUCGGCCACACUGGGACUGAGACACGGCCCAGACUCCUACGGGAGGCAGCAGUAGGGAAUCUUCCGCAAUGGACGAAAGUCUGACGGAGCAACGCCGCGUGAGUGAUGAAGGCUUUCGGGUCGUAAAACUCUGUUGUUAGGGAAGAACAAGUACAAGAGUAACUGCUUGUACCUUGACGGUACCUAACCAGAAAGCCACGGCUAACUACGUGCCAGCAGCCGCGGUAAUACGUAGGUGGCAAGCGUUAUCCGGAAUUAUUGGGCGUAAAGCGCGCGCAGGCGGUUUCUUAAGUCUGAUGUGAAAGCCCACGGCUCAACCGUGGAGGGUCAUUGGAAACUGGGGAACUUGAGUGCAGAAGAGAAAAGCGGAAUUCCACGUGUAGCGGUGAAAUGCGUAGAGAUGUGGAGGAACACCAGUGGCGAAGGCGGCUUUUUGGUCUGU
rnacentral:rRNA from 1 species